GAUAUAGCUGAAACGUAUAUGAAGCCAACCGUUACGUUCAUUUGUGUUUUACCCCAAACGAAGAGGAAAUAAGUUGUGAAAGAAGGAGUAGCCUCUCAUAGUUUCUACAAUUUCUUCAUUCUCUUUGCUUUCUUCAAUAUUGCCUCUGCAAGUUUCUGUGGUUGAGGAUAUUUGAAAUAUAUACAAUGUUACCACCGUGGAAAUUGUCUUGGAAACUUGGAAAAUCUUUCAAGAGGAACAACAUUGCUAACUGAGAUUAGAGAAAGGAAAGGCAAGUAAAUCCUUGCUUCUACUUGGAGCUUUUUUAUUUAUUUCUGACGAACAAAGUACUCUUAUUGAAGUUUGAUUAAAAGUACCAAGAAUGUCGAGAUAUAAAUAACCAUUUUUGGAAAGAUUAGGAGAAGCAGAAUUAUCGAGUAAACGUUAUACAACUCUUAGUGAUUAAAUAAGAGGAGAAGAGAAAUGAGAAAAAGGUCUUUUAUCUGGGUCUUAAUAAAGUAUGCUAUACUUAUCCCCAUGAAAGUAUCAAGAAUAACAACAAGAUAUAAACAGUCUUCUAGAAAUUGAGUAUCCCAUGAUCAUAUGAUAAUACAUAGGAGGAAAAAAAUAGAGGAAAAAACAGUGUAAAAAGAAGUUGCGUAGGAGUAUCGUCGCACUACAUCGUUCGCCAAUUGAUGCACGUCAUGGCGAUCGUCACGGUUUAAAGCAGGCCAUCAAAAACACGUUUGUUAUCAUAUGGAAAAAUCUGCGACGUUCCAGCUGUUCAGGUGCAUCGAAUUGUGAAUCAUCGGCGGUACGAAGCGAGGCGAGAAGCGUAAAUAGAGAAAGAAGAAAAGAAAAGGAUUCGCGUAAAUGAUAAAAUAUAAUCGUUCGUUCCUCGUCGAUGGCGGAUGAAUGGCUUUAAUCGUGGACGAUAUCGAUACGAUUAUAUUUUAUAUAUUUGAAGCAAAUAUAAAAGACGCGGAAAAAACCAGAGAUACGAUCGUUAUGAUAUUAUUCAAUCGGUAGCCUAUUUACCUCGUUUUUUGUUCACCUUCUCUGUCUAGUAAUAAUUUUUCGAUUCGACUGGCGUGACGUUACGUUGGCGGUAAAAACACGAUUUUAAACACCUGCGGUAGUUGCAUGAGUUUCGAGCGAUUCCAUUCCCUUCGAUUUAUAUUUAUGCGAUCAACGCGCGGAUCGUUAACGCAUUAUGCAGACAGCAGAUGUUACGUAAUCACGCAUAUCGUAAUUGGAAAUUAGUAACGUUAUCGCGUACCAGGAUCUUCCUGUCUUCGAUCAUUGAGUAACACUUCGUUGUCCUCGCUCCUUCCGCGGAUAACCAGCGUUUAUCACAUAGAGACAGGGAUUUGCGAAGAAUAUAAGUUGUAGAACGUUGAAAGGCGUUGAGAGAAACGUGAUGUUAUUCCGUUACUCGUUAACGCAGUUAAAAAAUCCCGCAGGAAGAUUACGAUAAUAGAUAAAUUGGAUCGAGUGUUUGUCGAGGGAUCUAAAAGAUUCUUUCGAGUUGAGCAUCUGAGAUUGCAGAGAAAAAAAUUUGGAAGCAAUCGAAUUCGUGAUGUCGAUAGAAAUCUAUAGUUGGAAUCGUUGUAUCAUAACGUAGUCUCCUUAUUGUCGAUAAGACGCCGAUGUUUUUAUAUUUUAAACGAAAAAAAGAAAGAAAAUAGAGACGUAUUAUUUUAAAAAGAGAAACGAAUUUUACGAUCAUAUUCUUGAAAAAAGAACGAUGAAAACUAAAAGUAACUACUAAAAGUUUCUAUCUUCUAAAUUAUAUUUACGAUUCCGUAAUCUAAAAAUUGACUUUUGCAAACAGCUUGACAAACUGUAACAUUCGCUUAACGGAAAGACAUACGUAUCUUGUUUGUACUCGUCUUUUCACAAUGAAUUCUUGAACGUCUGUCUCCGUGGUGAGACAAAUGCAAAGUCAUCUCGUCAGUCACUCACAUUGCUUCAAAUCUCCAAGAGUAUCGACGAGCACAUCGCACAUCAUCGCUUCCCAUUCGUCCCUUCCCGUUAGAUUGUGCUUCCUCGCCAAGUAUCGCGCUACAGCGUUGCUCUGCGCUAUCGGCUUCCCGUCUAUCUCCAGCACAGGCAGCAUUCCAUAAGGCAUUGCUAAGAACAAACAUGGCUUGUAUGAACACUGUGUAGAGGGAAACGAUCGAUAGGAAAUCACAACACAGCUUCUGAGGCCGUUGCGUUCUUGUGAAUGGAUGAAUCGAAAUCAUUUCGGUUUUAAUCAACAUGGCCUAGUAAGGAAAUACAGAGAUGUUUUCUUUUUCUUUUUUUUUUUUUCUUAUCUUACAAUUACGAUGGACAGGGUAUCGCGUGUUUUUGACUGUUGGGAAGGAUCUAAAGGUUUUAAAAUCAAGGAUGAAAGAUCGAGUAUAAAAUUUUUAAUUCUCACGGAAAGGAACGAAUCUGUCUGAUACGGUGUACUGAAUGUACGAGGAACGAUCAGUAUCGUUUUGCUGGAAGACCUUAUGCAAUGAUAGUGAACUUACGACUGCGAAUAAAAAAUUCACGUCGCAUAAUGCCAGACACGGAAAAAAAUAUUAGAAAAUGUACACGGUUCUUGCAUUGAAAAUUGAAAUGCAAGGAAUAUAAAUCAAAUGUCUCUUGUGAACGUAAUUUUGUGUUCUACACCGACAGGAUUGAUUUAUAGACUUACGUUUAUGUUUUAUUUCUCUAUUUGCAAGAGACAUAUAAGAUUAUAUCGAAAACUAUGCUGCGUAAAAACUUUUAUUAUACUAUUUACGAUACAAAUAUCGCAACGGAAGAUCGAAUUUUAUGUCUGCUUUGUUCUUUUGACUUUUUAGCUAUGUUCUUGUUCAUUUCCGAACUGAUUUCAAUCUUUUACCCUUUUUUCCGACAAAUCCUAAAAAUUUUUUAAAUUAACGAGAAACGUUAAAGUAUUUUUGUAUUCCUAUUUUAAGUCACCUAUUUACGGUUUUCUCAAAAUAUUCGAAAUGUUUCGAUUCAUUGAAAAAAGAUAAAGAUUGCAAUAUAAAAAUUCGGGAACCGUAAGUGAAUUAAGUUGGUUACGGAAGCAAAACUUAAUGGAAAGUUCGACUUUAUUCCGUAUGAAAUUCUACUUUCAGUAAGUUUAGCCUGCACGUGAAACGAAAGUUUUAUAUACAGGAAAGUUUGAGUAAAUGGUAGAUAUCUGAGAGUUGAACGAUGAAAGUAAAAAUCGAUUUCUCGCACUUACAUUUCUUCAAUUCAGGCCAGCGUUCUUUGGGGAUCCUCUCGUCGAUAUAGUCGAUGCCAGCGUAUGCAAAUAUGUAGCGAAUAUGCUCGGCACGACCACGGGCG